CAUUGCAUUAUUGAUCAAAAAAUUGUAGACUAAUGUUAUUUUAUAUUUUUUAAGAGUAAAAAACAUCUGCACUAAUAUUGCCUUGUUACUAAUUAUGAGAUUUUCAGGCUUGUGGAGAACAGCUUUUUUUUUAUCUACUCUUUGGCUGGCCAAUGUAAAUAAGCAAUGAUUUCAUGAAUGCAGCAAGAGAGUUUAUUUGAUGUAUUUUUAAAUCACUGAUAAUAUUUAUUGAUGUAUUUUAAAAUCACUGAUAAUAUUUGUUUUGUGGCUGGAAGAUGGUAACCAUGGUGACUUGUGAAUUUUUAUGAAGGAUUAAUAAAAAGCAGUAAAAAUUAUUA